rnacentral:sRNA from 1 species
GACCCGAGCGAAGCGAGAGAACGUUGCGUCAGCAACGGCCCGCAGGGCGAGCCACGCAGUGGCGAGUCAUCCUCUAUCACCGGCAG